GCCGCCCGCCCGGGCGCUCCGCCUCGGCCACGCACACACACCCUCGCGCGCACGCCCGCCCGCGCCUGGCACACGCCCGCGGCUGCCACUCGCGGGCUCCCCCACGCACCCUCUCCCGGGCUGGCCGGCUCGGGGCCGCUCGCGCACUCAAGCGCGUACACACAUCGCUCUUGCACACACAGGAUCUGCGGGGUAUUCGCCUCUUCGCCCCGCGCCACACCACCCAGCUGAGCAUCGCUUUCAGGCUACCCUGCGGGGGCGCAGUCAGCAGUCCAGCACAGCCGACCUUAAUCACAACACAUCUCUUUCUCUUGUCCCUAACCCCGCCCUACACACACAGGCCAGAUCUCCUAGACACCUGGAUGGCAGCUUAGCAUAAAGAGCCAGCUGCCUUCUCGUAGAGCCAAAACAUCAGUGUGUGGUCCAGACCGUUGGCAAGUAGACCUGGGCAUCCUGAAUCUACAGCUCGGACCGCAUCUCUGCAUCUUGCCCAAGGGGAGUCUAUGAAGCAGUUGCCUUUCUUAAUUAAAAGGGAAACGAAGAGAUGAGCCUGGAGGCUCGCCACUCACAUUCGCCUGGACACUGCUGGACAAUGGAGCAUGUCCCCACCCACAGGAGAUGUCCCAUCAGCCUCGGCUCCGGAAUAAGAAAGACGUUGUGGGCUUCCUGCCAAUCCCAAGUAGCCAUGUCGUGAGAUCCGAUACGUAAACCUUUGUGUGUUAAGCCACAGCAAUUUGGGAGUCCUUUGUUACUGCAGCGUAACCUGGAUUAUCCUGACUGGUUCUAUGAGAAAGAUACUCAAAACAGUGACUCUAGUGAGCUGUAUACCAAGGCAUCUGCCAAUCAAAGCAGCCCUACACACUCAUGCCAAACAGCCAUAUAUUAGUGGAAGCCAGAGGAAGAAAUUACAUAUUGCUUGUUAUUCCCGGUGUCAUCGAUGGCUAAGUCACCAUCCCCUAUCUUCCUCACAACAGUGUUUCUUCCCAGCUUGAUAAUGAUAGCUGUAGUUAAAAACUACCAUUCAUUGAUCAUUUGUCAUAUGUCGCACACCAUAUAAAGUAUUUACAAGUCUACGUGAGAGUCAUUCUUAGCCUCAGAUUUCAGACGUGAAAACCAAAACCCAAAGCACCAAUCUUAACAUUGCCUAAAGCCACAUAGCAUCCUAUUCCAGAGCAAAUGUUCGUAACUACUCUCCUUCAGACCAUCCCACAAACAUCUUCCCCAAAAGACAAUCUGCCUCCACUGGGUCACACUGGCUCCAUUCUUUUCUCAGAUACCAUGGUCAGCCCUGCCCUUGGUCACAAUGGAUUUAAGAGGCCUUGGUUGAAGGAUACUGUGACAGCUAUUAGAUCAAUCUGAUCAAUGGCCCCAUGAAAGAGCUGAAUAUCUAAACACUGUUUUCUGGGCCCUUUUUGGUCUUACUCUUAGCUAGUUUCUCAGCCUAUAAAUAGGACCCUGUCUCACUUUAGUGCAAUGGCUCUCAACCUUCUUAAUGCUGCAACUCCUUAGUAUAGUUUCUCAUGCUGUGGUGACCCCCAACCAUAAAUUAAUGUCACUGCUACUUCACAAUUAUAACUUUGCUACUGUUCUGAACCGUAAUGUAAAUAUUUUUGGAGAUAGAGGUUUGCCAGAGGGGUCAUGACCCUAGGUUGAGAACCUCUACUCUAGUGCCUGAGUUCCUGCUUCAGUGCUAGCUAAUGCUGGGCUUCAUCCUGUAGUAGACUUCUGGGUCUGACUUACCACCUCCACUCCAGCUGUUGCUACUUCAGCCCCUACCACAGCCAACCAGAUUUACCUCUGAUGGAUUUCCUGUGAACCUGGUAGUGUUUCAUCAACUUGCUACAAGCUAGAGUCAUUUCAGAAGAGGGAAGCUCAACUGAGUAAAUGCCACCAGCCGAUUGGACUGUGAACUGGAGCCUUUAAUUGGUUUAUGAUUGAAGUAGGAGAGCCAGAUCACUGUGGGUGGUACCGCCCCUGGGCUGGUGGUCCUGGGUUACAUAAGAAAACAGUCUGAGCAAGCCAUAGGGAGCAAGAGCCUAAGCAGCCUUUCUCCAUGGCUUCUGCUUCAGUGCCUGCCUCCAGACUUUUGCUCUGACUUUCUUCAUUGUUGAACUAUGAUGUAAGCGAAAAUAAACCCUUUCCUCCCCC